rnacentral:rRNA from 1 species
UGGGGAAUCUUCCGCAAUGGGCGCAAGCCUGACGGAGCAACGCCGCGUGAGUGAAGAAGGUCUUCGGAUCGUAAAGCUCUGUUGAUGGGGACGAACGUGCCUAAUGCGAAUAGUAUUAGGUAAUGACGGUACCCAUCGAGGAAGCCACGGCUAACUACGUGCCAGCAGCCGCGGUAAUACGUAGGUGGCGAGCGUUGUCCGGAAUCAUUGGGCGUAAAGGGAGCGCAGGCGGGCAUGGAAGUCUUUCUUAAAAGUGCGGGGCUCAACCCCGUGAUUGGAAAGAAACUAUGUGUCUUGAGUACAGGAGAGGAAAGCGGAAGUCCCAGUGUAGCGGUGAAAUGCGUAUAUAUUGGGAGGAACACCAGUGGCGAAGGCGGCGUUCUGGACUGCAACUGACGCUGAGGCUCGAAAGCCAGGGGAGCGAACGGG